rnacentral:rRNA from 1 species
AACGAACGCUGGCGGCAGGCUUAACACAUGCAAGUCGAACGCCCCGCAAGGGGAGUGGCAGACGGGUGAGUAACGCGUGGGAAUCUACCUAGUUCUACGGAACAACAGUUGGAAACGACUGCUAAUACCGUAUACGCACUAAGGGGGAAAGAUUUAUCGGAAUUAGAUGAGCCCGCGUAAGAUUAGCUAGUUGGUGGGGUAAUGGCCUACCAAGGCGACGAUCUUUAGCUGGUCUGAGAGGAUGAUCAGCCACACUGGGACUGAGACACGGCCCAGACUCCUACGGGAGGCAGCAGUGGGAAAUAUUGGACAAUGGGCGCAAGCCUGAUCCAGCCAUGCCGCGUGAGUGAUGAAGGCCUUAGGGUUGUAAAGCUCUUUCACCGAUGAAGAUAAUGACGGUAGUCGGAGAAGAAGCCCCGGCUAACUUCGUGCCAGCAGCCGCAGUAAGAC